rnacentral:sRNA from 1 species
ACAUCAAACAUUACACCGCAACGUUUCGUAUUUCGAAAUUAUAUUAUUUUUAUUUCUAGAUCUUUUUCACACAUAUGCAGUCAGUCGGUUAUUUUCGGAACAGUAAUUACUUAGUGAAGCCUGGAAAGCAUCAGCAUUAUAGCCAAUAUGCAAAAUUCCGCUGUCUUAUCACGUGCAACAUCCAAAACAACCGGCAAAAGUGGAGUAGCUAAAUCUACAGAGGCCAAAAAGAAUGAACCAGCUAGGAGCCAGUCCUUGAACAGACCAC